UAUUAUGGCACGAUCCCUUGACCUCUUCUCUUCUUCGACGCAACCUGACUUGAGAACAAAAGCGAGUGUGAGUCUCAUGGGCAUGCAGACGCUGACCCUCUUUCGCUUCCCCCACCCUAUUUCUCAAAACGCUGUCGUUCCCCAACACGCCAUGUCCCGCUCCUCCGAAACCUCCUUUCCCACCCUCACUACUAUCUCCAUCUCUUUCUCUCAACUCCAAGAUAAGAACGCCGACUUGUCGUUCAAGAUUGAAGAAGGCUUUGGACCCAAUGGAUUGGGGAUUCUAUCCGUCACUGAUGUCCCAGGAUACUCUUCAUUGCGCAGAAAUCUAUUGCAUCUUGCACCAAGAUUGGCAAAUCUUCCCAAAGAAGUGAAGGAGGAUCUUGAAGAUCCUCAUAGUAGGUACAAUUUUGGUUGGAGUCAUGGGAAAGAGAAACUUGAAUCUGGGAAGCCAGAUAUUUUAAAAGGAUCUUUCUAUGCCAAUCCCAUACUUGAUACACCUACAACAGAGACUUCUUUGAUACAACGGUAUCCAUCAUAUUGCGGCUCAAAUAUAUGGCCUAGAAAUGCUUUACCAGAACUUGAAGUGGCUUUCAAAGCACUUGGGAAGCUGAUAUUUGACAUUGGAUUGAUGUUGGCAUAUCACUGCGAUCAAUAUGUAUCCAAAGGGAUGAAAAUUCACAAGGAUGAAGGUCUGGAAUCAAUACUUCGUUGCUCCCGCUGUCAUAAAGGACGUUUGCUAUAUUAUUUUCCUUCACAACAGGGAGUCCCAGAUGGCAACUCUUUGUCUUCUUGGUGUGGAUGGCAUACUGACCACGGUUCACUGACAGGUCUGACUUGUGGUAUGUUUACGAGAGAUGGUGUAGAAAUUGCUUGCCCUGAUAGUGCUGCUGGCCUCUAUAUUCGAACAAGAAAUAAUCAAAUUAUCAAAGUUGUCUAUGGAAAAGAUGAUAUAGCAUACCAAAUUGGUGAAACCACUGAAAUACUUUCUGGAGGUUAUCUUUGUGCAACACCUCAUUGUGUUCAGGCUCCUACGGGGGAGGAGUCCUCUGGUAUUGAGCGCUCAACAUUUGCAUUAUUCAUGCAGCCUGACUGGGAUGAAAAGCUCAAUUUACCCGAGAAAGUUCACAUUCAUAAAGAGGUAUGUAUUCUUGACGUCAUGAUCAUUCUUCACAUUCAGCAUGAAACAAGACACCAUAUAAGAUUUGAAUUAGUAAAAGAUGACAUUGAAAAACAAAGAAAGAAAGAAAAGAGAAGAAAAGGAGUGACUUUGCAUUAUCAUCUGUGACAUGCAAGGCAAUAACAUUUCAGGUUCCACCCAAUAAGUAGGUUUUUUCUACGUAACCUCUGAAUUUACUGGAUGGUGGAACCGGAGAAUAUUUCAUGUUUAACAACUACAAAUCCAUCUCACUUUGAAAUCUGUGAACCUAGCAUUCUGCAUGGUAUUAUGUUGACAUCUAGAUGAUACGGCCCGAACCUGCUGCCUCCUUGGUAUUAAAAGAGGUAAGCUGUAUUUCUAAAGUCCAGAAUGGGCUUAUGGGCUGAAUUUUUAUCAUUUUUUUUUCCAGCUUAUUCCAUCAAAUGCUGCCCUUACUUUUGGAGAGUAUUCAGAGAUGCUGCUCGACAAAUAUUACCACCAAAAACAGAACUAACUUGUUACUUCUCUGCCAACAAGCAUAACUGGUUGAAGAGACUUAGCCUGUGAAUUCAUGAGACUAAAAUAAAAUUGUGUGAAUGUGUAGUCGCUAUUGGAUAAUCUCAAAAGAAAAGAAUAACUGGGUAAGGUUACAAGGGUAACUGGUUGAAGAAACUUAGCCGGUUAAUUCACGGGUAAAUGUGUAGUCGCUAUUGGGGUAAUAGCAAAAGAAAAAGAAAAUUCUUAUAGAUUACGUGGAAUAGCAACAUUUAAUUUAUUUAACAGGAUAUUAACUUAUGGGAUGGAAUGAAAGUUACAGUACAAUCCAAUACUUAUGUUCUUUUUCUUUUUAGUGGGAAGUAAUGCAAUGAUAUAACCUACUUGUGAUAGGAUUUAAGCA